GGCAUUGAUGAUAAUGGUGUCUCUUCUUUCCCAGUCCGAUUCGACCAUGACGACACGGGGUUCUAUCACGCUUUUAUCACCCUAUUUAUUUAGAGUGAUGGCUUUUCUUGCCAGUGUAAUUCAUUACACGAUAACAAAACUCUCUGAGCC
rnacentral:snoRNA from 1 species